UAGAGGGGGAUAACUACUAGAAAUGGUAGCUAAUACCCCAUACUCCUUAUAGUAGGGAUACUAUAAGGGAAAGGAGUAAUCCACUAUGGGAUCGGGCUAUAUCGUAUCAGCUANUUGGUGAGGUAAAGGCUCACCAAGGCGAUGACGCGUAGCUGGCCUGANAGGAUGAUCANCCACACUGGAACUGAGACACGGUCCAGACUCCUACGGGAGGCANCAGUGGGGAAUAUUGCACAAUGGGGGAAACCCUGAUGCANCAACGCCGCGUGGAGGAUGACGCAUUUCGGUGUGUAAACUUCCUU
rnacentral:rRNA from 1 species